GUAGAAUGGGAGGUAAGGGGGCAGGGAUGUAGACAGGGAGGGAGGGAGAGGGAGUUUGUGGGUGGAGGGGGAGGAGGGGAGGUAUGUAAGAAGGGGUUCCGUGGCUUGCGUGAGUGCGCGUGGCUCAGUGGUGAUGACGUGGCAGCGAGCAAGCACGGAUUGCGUUUGGAGGUUUGCAACGAUAACCAGGUUCGUGUAUGAAAAUGUGUGUGGAAGCUGUUUCGCGCGUGACCUGUGGCGCGGACCCGAAUGCCAUUGCAAUUGAGGCCGUUCCGUGUAUUGCAGCUGACAUCCAUUCGACGCAGCCAACAUGCCCACAAAGCAUAAUACAGCUCUCGACAGCACCUUUCGGGGUGUCGGGGCGACAGACAACAAAAAGGGGAGCGUUAGCUAACGGACAG
rnacentral:lncRNA from 1 species